UUGAUAUUUCUAACUGUUUUUGUAACUAUCUUCCUAAGAAAAACUAAUUCAAUUACUUGUGAUGCUAAUACAUCGUGCUUUCAAUUCAUUGCCCUUCCUACUUAAUUGUUCUUACUGAAUUGGAAAGCAUUAAAACAUGAUUGUUUAUGUAUUCCCUUACUAUUUAAUGAUAGAGUAUCAUCUAUAAACUUUCUGUGUAACUUUUAUAUUGGAGUAAAAUGUUCCUUGCUGAGUACUUAGUGCAAGACUGGUAUGGUUUUUCCUUGUGCUGUAUGUUCCUCAACAUUGAUAUUUUUCAACUACUGUCCUGAAGGCUGUGGUCUGGUAGACAAAGUUCUGUACCAUAAAUCUAAUUUGAAGAUUCAAAAUAUAUUUAGUGUUGUAGCUUCUCUUUUGCCAAAUUCACCGAAGAUACAAUCACCGUGUUCAUUUGUGAUCCUUUCUAUUCAAAAGAAGUUUUGAGAUAUAGCAUAGCAAUCAUGAUCAUGUAGGAUUCCAGGUGUUUGAGGUGUGUAAUCGCUCCCUGCAAUUCCCUAUUGCUACGGAAAAUCUCAGUCUAACUAGGUGUGCAAUGUAAAUAAUGUUUCUCUUCUUUGGGGACAAUGUCUUGUAUGAAUGCAGGACAACAUUAACACAAGAGUCCUUUUCCAUAUUUUGUACUUGGUGCGCCGAGUUCAUUUUCUUUUGGAUGAAGUAAGAUGUUUCAUUAAUAGGUGUCAAGAAGAUGCAAAAGGUAUAAAAGAGAGAUGCAUCCAAAGAAACUAUAUUAGAUUUAGGGAGCUAACGAAGUCCAAAACAGAUCAGUGCUAUUUGCAGGGGUUAGGUGCUCCAACUAAUUAACCAGGCAUCUAGCUUUUGAAGAGUGGACGGAGUUGAGAUUCCAUCAAAACAUAUACGGUUCUAACUGUGUAAGAACACCAAAAAAUAUUCACAGGGAUCAUAAUCCGGAUCUCCUCUGACUUUAUAACUUCAUAAACUCCAAGAUUCAUAGACUUCUGUGACUCUCUGUGGGUUUUGUGUGUGGCAGAAAUGAAACGGAAUAAACAAUAAUCUAAGAAUUCAUCUCACUAAUCAACG